rnacentral:misc_RNA from 1 species
AUGGUGAGCGCUUUGCGGUGCCGCACACACAGCGAUACAUUCUCGUUCUUCAUCCACCACUCUCAGAGUGUGCAGCGACGUCGGCGUCACAGGUAUACAGGCUGGCUUUCACAUACGAAGCGCCGCCCACACACUGCGCUCUCCGCCCGCCGCCGCCGUAGCAGCAACAGCAACAACAUCAGAGGGGACUGGUACCACGGUGAUAACCGAACGAGGUAAUGAUGACCAGCAUGGCUGUCUCGGCCCCGGUCAUGCCACCGGCGACUGCAAGAGAGCACAGGCCUGUACGGGCAGCAAGAGCGACCGCAUCAACGACGUCGUCGGCCGGACGCAGCGCGCGCUCCGCACGCUCUGUCCACUUCGCACUCGAGCCUGUCGCGCGUGAUGUGCAGAAGCAUAUGGAGCGGCAGCUGUGGCACUGGCUGGAAAAGACACACAGCAUGCUGCGUCCACUCGAGGCGAGUGCGCGUGGUCAGGUGCAGGUAAUGGAGCGCGCUACCGUGGCGGCAACGGCCGCCACCGCUGCCCCAGCAGUGGUGGUCAAGGCGGUUGCGGUGACGCUGCCGCCAUACCGCGAGCAUGCGCAUGAUGCAUCGGAGGACGAGGACAUAUCCUGGUCUCGUGCGCAGCUGGUACCGAGCGUGUCGCUUGCCCUGUGGGAACAGCGCCGUCGUCAACUGCGGCACGUGGCCGGUGUAGUGGAUGUGUACACACUGGCCAGCAUGUUGCGCGACACCCGAGAAGGCAGUCCCAGGAAGAGGCACGGCAGCAGCGGCAGCAGCGGCGGGGCUGUCCGCUUCUGCACGAGCUUCCUCGGCUCCAGCUGCGAUACAACUGCCUCCGGUCGAGUACCGAUGCCGGUGCUGGACGCAGAUGAGCUCAGAGAGCAAGGGUGGGCCCUGGAUGUGGUCGUGAAGCAGCCCACGCAGCAGCAGCAUCACCAGAGCGGCAGCCGCGGUCGGAGCUCCAGUGGCGCGUCGCCGCUGCCCCACCCCACCGUAUUCCUGUUUGCACGUGACUAUAUUGACCACGCAGAGGUGCUGUGGAACCUUGUGCAGGAGCGCUGGGGGCGGGAGCGGCUACCUGUGACGGUGAUGCCGGCGUGGGUGAACACGGCGGCGGUGUUCGGCAGCGACGACCCGCAAGUGGAGGCCACAGCAGCGUCUGCCCUGACAGAUGACGCUCUCGAGAAGCUGCGGCGCCACAUCGGUCGAUGGCUGAAGGGUGCGUCGGCAGCCGACAAAACAAAGAAACGUGUGGCAGGCCAGGCAGCGGCGCUUGCAAUCGACACGUACGGCGCCGCUGUCGCCGCAGCCGUCGCCAGUGAUGAACAGGCGCUGACGGCGCACGAUGCGGCCGACAUUACAUGGGGAGUCUGCACCGCACUGGCGCGACUUCAUCGCGCCGGACUGGCGCACGGCAACCUCAAGCCGAACAACGUCUUGAUUGCUCAGCCGGUAGACGGCCGUAGUGCUGCGCAGGCGGAGCAGGCCCCACGUGAGGUGCACGUCACCGACCACCUCCUUCCACUGCUCCCUGACCAACUGGUGGAGCCGGGCGAGCUCCUGAAACUCCCGUGGGCUGCCGCUGUCGCCGUUGGCGGCGCACCUGCCGAGCGGAGGAAGUCGAUGCCCGUCACGAUGAGCGGCUACGUGUGCUUGAAGCAGCACGAGGAGGCGGCCUCGAUGUCGUACCUGUGCGGUGGCGGGCUGUCUGACGCGGUCGCCGCCCCGGCAUUCUCGUUGAGCGGGUUCAUCCUGAGCAACGCCGUCAGCGGCAACGAUGACGCUGCCGUGCUGGAGGGUGGGGUAGACUGCCUCUCGAACACGGCCUAUGAGGCCGUGCUGCUGCAGCACCUCACCGCCCCCGAGAGGGUGUUGUUGGUGGCGGUGGACAGCAGUACAGUUAACGCUGGUGUACGGAAAGACGCAGCAGAAGUCGGAACAGCCCUCAGCACCGGCGGGCCGCACUUCAGGGUGUGGGUGGAUACGCAGCACGCCACACCAGCCAGCGACAUCUACGCACUCGGGGCGCUCCUCUACAUUAUGCUGAUCGGUCGCCUCCCACCGCUGCCGCGCUACCGCCGUGCAUCUCGAGGCACAUUCAGUGCAGCAGCCGUCGGCGCUCGGCCUCAGCGGAUGUACGAGGCGGUGGUCAACGACGUUGUGUGCGCUCUGUAUGAGAACGCGGCGAGGCACAGCUUCAAGUGCGAUCCGUCGCCGAUGAUGGACGAGCUCAAGGCCUUCUUGCAAUCCGCAGCCGCACGCGAGCAUCUGCCUCUUGUCCUGGCGCUCGCACGUGCCGGCGUGCGGCCAACGACGAUGGACAUCCUUGUCGGCAUGCUGCACGUCAACCCCGCCAAGCGACUCAGCCUUGCGCAGCUCCAACAUCAUGCCUUCUUCCGCACGUACGGGCGGCGGCGACACACCCUUCGCGCCGAGUUUGCGGAAGCGGCGCGGCGGGUGCAGCACGCAGCGCCGGUGAUGAGGAAAGACCCCUUGGGUCACAGCGUUGCCGCGGCUGUUGGACGACGCAUGAUGCCGCAGAACAUGGGGGCCACCGCCAAGGCGGCCGCUGAGCGUCCUCGCUCGCCGCCCACACCAUCUGCGGGCCACCUAGCUACGGUGGCGCCGCGCGUACCUUCCAUGGCUAGCAUGCCAAGCCGCAUCAACGAACGCGGCACACCAGAUCCAGUGCUCUCACCCGCGUCUCCCAACGCCGCUGCCGCCUCGCGAAGUGCCUCCAUGGCCUCCGUGGGCUCUGCUGGUGAAGAGGCGCCGCGAUCCACUCCACGAUCCCCCCCUCCUCAGCUCCUCCGCGCGCCGCACGCCGUGUACCUUCCCUACAAGAGACGCGAGACCACCAUAUCGCCCCCAUCACCCUCUCCAACACUGCCAGCGCAGGAGGGGGAGCGACGCCAGCGGAAGGAGCCCUCGUGUUCGCUGCUCCAAAGCCGCGCGCUGCAGCUCUCCGCCCCCUCUUACAUGGGGCAAACCCAUUAUGAUCUCCCACGCCGCAGAGCCUCCAUCCAGGACGACAUGGACAGGCCGCUAGAUCGGAGCUGCAGAUCACUGAUAACCGCGGUGUCGAACAGAUCUGUGGGGGCCGCGCUGAUUCCGCACGCUGUCCGGCGCCUCUCUCCCUUGGGCCAUGAGGCGUCGGUGCUAUCGCAAACGUCUCUCGACGCUACGCCCGCCGCGCGACUCGGCAAAGCCGGACCAGCCCUGCACGCGCCACGUCGGCCUGUCAUGCGACGUCAAUCCGCGUGGAUGAUGCCGCAUCGUUACUCUGUGUACGUGGUGUCGCUGGCCCUGCUGUUUGUCGUCCGGCUUAGGCGCCGCCGGGAGCGCACAUGGCUGCUGGGCCGUAUGCGGCGCUGUCAUCGAUGACGCACUAACCCGCGCAGGUGAAGGGGGAGGGGGCUGUGAAGAGCUAGUAGCUGCUUCGCGGCCCCACCUCUCCUCAUCGACGACUUGCUCUCCCUCUAUUUCUUGUUUUCUUGGCCUUCUCUUGUGACUUUGUAUGUCGCCCACUCGGCGCUUGCAUCAGGUCUUCUCAGAUCACGAAGUAAUUCGAAUGCCCCCCUCCACUUAAAACACACGCACACGCCUUCCCCGCCCCCCCCGCCCUCCCUCUUCUUCUUUGCUGCUGGCCCCACGCGCCUUCAACGGCUCUCGUUGCACCAGCGCAUGUCUGUGUAUAUCCGAGCGUUCUCGGGCGUGAGUGUGUCCGUGCGUGCGUGCGUGCGAGCUUCGAGGAGGGAGGGGGGAGGGGCGCAUUCUUUUCCUCUUAUUGUACCUCUUCGUUUGUGUGCUGUGGUGCACCAUACGACCUCUAUUCCUUACCUCUAUUCUAUCUCCCUCCCGCACGCACGCACGCCCUCAGAACUUCGCGAAGGAUGGGCGUGCGUGUGUGCGUGAGUGUAUCUAUACGUUUAUUAGUUAUGUUCUGUUUCUCUAUGAGAUUGUACAUCCAUGUGUUCUGCAGGGCACACACAC